GACGUAGGGGGCAAGCGUUAUUCGGAAUUAUUGGGCGUAAAGCGCUCGUAGGCGGGACUGGAAGUCCGUGUUGAAAGACCUCGGCUCAACUGAGGGACCGGCUCGGAUACUCUAGUUCUUGAGGCAAUCAGAGGGUGAUGGAAUUCCCGGUGUAGCGGUGAAAAUGCGUAGAUAUCGGGAGGAACACCAGUGGCGAAGGCGAUCACCUGGGGUUGUUCUGACGCUGAGGAGCGAAAAGCUAGGGGGGAGCAAAACGGGGA
rnacentral:rRNA from 1 species